rnacentral:lncRNA from 1 species
UUCCAAGUAAACAAAGGAGAAACUCUUAAAUGUCAUUCUCAGAUAUAUUUUCUUUCUAUACAAUAGUUUCAUGCAUAAUUGUCAUACAGAUUUUAACCUCAAAGAACAUAAAAGCUUUCCUUGUCCAAGCCUUAAACAACUUAUGGAUGAACCCUAUCCUGCCAUCAAAAUAAUUAACUUCAAACUAGAAGUAUCAUCCACCGUACUCA